GUACUGUGAUGAAACCCAUGCGUGUCAACUGACUGUGUGCGCUGCUGUUGUGGUGCAGCUCAGGUUGGCGUUCUGCUGCCCUGAGUCCUGUCCACAGCAGGGACACACAGAAGUGAUCACACCUCACUGGUCUGAGUGC